CGGGUCGAUCUCUUACAUGGGCAGACUGGACGGUGGAUGUUUUUUCUGUUUAUGUAGUAGAAUUAACGUUUGUUAAAUAAUACGACGUCGUGUUUUUAUCGGCAGAAUUUUUAUAAUCGCUGACGAUUUUGCCUACUUUUUUAGUUUGGCAUCCGUAUCUAAAAUAUACCGGAUAGGCCGCUUAAUCUUAUAAAAACGACGAUUAUUCGGUAAAGCUGGUCAAAUAUUAAUGGGUGAACAGUUACGAAAAAUAAUAUUUUUGCCCUCACUAAACAAAAGCGUCGGCUGUAGGUGUAAAUUAAUUUUCGAUAUAAGUAUGGCUCCAUUGUUUUUCUAUCAUUCGACGCUAGUUCUAACUCGGCCGACCAGGAGUUUUAGUAGUAGCGGUUGCCCAACGGCUAGUAGUAACAGGGGCGCGCUUGUCGAAAAAAAAUGAAGCGUGUUGUCAAAACCGGACUUGGAAAUUUUUUAAAAGCACCGUGGUGGAACGACUAUAUUCUUAUAAUUCGAUUGGCUAUUAGGUGCUGGUGAAGUCGGGUCGACGCCUGCACCUACAUCCUACAUCUAUAAAUAUGUGUACUUUAUCAUCGUCGCUCCUUCGGAUUAACGAGACGGGUGGGCGCAGCCAUCUCCAAACAACUCGACUGGUUGGAUAACAGCGUAAACGAAAUUGGCUCCCAAACGUGACGUCACGGGUUCCGUAGUAGCGCUAUCGAGUUGGACAGAAAAUCUCUCCACCGUUCCACCGUGGGCACGAUUUUACCGGGCCAAAAUGUAGCGAGCGUUAAAACCCGAGAGACCGGGCCGUUAAAAUGGCCGCCCAUGCAAAAAGGAAGGCUGGGCCACGGCGCCAUAUUAAUCGUCUAGGCCGUGGCCCGUCCGUCUGACGGUGGAGGCUGGUCCGCUAACGACAGGCGGCUGGGAUAAGCGUCGAAGAAAACGUAUUUUAUAAGCCAUCGACGUCAGUUCUGACGUUUCGGGGUCGACGACACCGUCGUCCUCCACCGAAAAUAAUGGCGCCGUACUUGGCCGACCGAUCACGCUUAACCGGUCGGCCCAUCUCGACGUAAUUUAUAGGAAAAAACGGCGUUUCGAUCACCACCCCGCCUUCGGUGCAUAAAAAUGUUUUUUAACGGCCUUACCCACCAAACGUUUCUUCCUCCGUUCUACCGGCCAAAACAAAGCGGCAGAAAAUAGUCUUCCCUUUCCGGCCCAGUCCGUUCUUUUUUUGCUCAACGGAUGACGUCACUUUCCAUUCUAGAAUACUAAAUGACGGGGAUGAACCACUCGGA
rnacentral:lncRNA from 1 species